GACGGCACGCGCGCCUUCGGGCGUUCGUCUUUCCGUAGCCCUUACAACAUCAGCCGGGUUCCGGCAUCCGUGCCGCCGUCCUCGCAUCCCUUCCGUCGUCAUCUCGAUUGUCCGUCGAGCGACCCGCCCUCCAGGCGCCGGUCGGGACGGACACGGCCUUGGAGGAUACAUCCGAUUUGGGCUGGUAGCUCAGUUGGUUAGAGCGCGCGCUUGAUAAGCGUGAGGUCGGAGGUUCAAAUCCUCCCCGGCCCACCAUUUUCGGUGGUCCGCGUGGAACACGCGGACACAACAUGCCAGUGGCAUGUUGUGAACCGAAAAUCCCGAGCGCUUUGGCGCGAGGGCCUUUCCGCGCAGCGGAACCGGGGGUGUAGCUCAGCUGGGAGAGCGCCUGCUUUGCAAGCAGGAGGUCAUCGGUUCGAUCCCGUUCACCUCCACCACUUCUUCCGAAGUGGCUGGGUGUCCGGCGUCUCCGGCCAGGAUGACGACGCGAAGUCUGGAAAAGACUCUUUUCUCGUAUGCGCCGGCCCUCGGGCCCUGCAUGCGGCUCUUUGUCAUCGUGAAUAGGUUUGCAUGAACGGGCAUGACAUAUGGCCCUGCC
rnacentral:tRNA from 1 species